rnacentral:rRNA from 1 species
GUAGGUGGCAAGCGUUGUCCGGAAUUAUUGGACGUAAAGCGCGCGCAGGCGGUUCUUUAAGUCUGAUGUGAAAGCCCACGGGCUCAACCGUGGAGGGUCAUUGGAAACUGGAGAACUUGAGUACAGAAGAGGAAAGCGGAAUUCCACGUGUAGCGGUGAAAUGCGUAGAGAUGUGGAGGAACACCAGUGGCGAAGGCGGCUUUCUGGUCUGUAACUGACGCUGAGGCGCGAAAGCGUGGGGAGCAAACAGGAUUAGAUACCCUGGUAGUCCACGCCGUAAACGAUGAGUGCUAAGCGUUAGGGGGUUUCCGCCCCUUAGUGCUGCAGCUAACGCAUUAAGCACUCCGCCUGGGGAGUACGGCCGCAAGGCUG